rnacentral:rRNA from 1 species
GAUGAACGCUGGCGGCGUGCUUAACACAUGCAAGUCGAACGAUGAAGCCCAGCUUGCUGAGUGGAUUAGUGGCGAACGGGUGAGUAACACGUGAGUAACCUGCCCUUAACUCUGGGAUAAGCCUGGGAAACUGGGUCUAAUACCGGAUAGGAGCGUCCACCGCAUGGUGGGUGUUGGAAAGAUUUAUCGGUUUUGGAUGGACUCGCGGCCUAUCAGCUUGUUGGUGAGGUAAUGGCUCACCAAGGCGACGACGGGUAGCCGGCCUGAGAGGGUGACCGGCCACACUGGGACUGAGACACGGCCCAGACUCCUACGGGAGGCAGCAGUGGGGAAUAUUGCACAAUGGGCGCAAGCCUGAUGCAGCGACGCCGCGUGAGGGAUGACGGCCUUCGGGUUGUAAACCUCUUUCAGUAGGGAAGAAGCGAAAGUGACGGUACCUGCAGAAGAAGCACCGGCUAACUACGUG